AUUGAACGCUGGCGGCAUGCUUUACACAUGCAAGUCGAACGGUAACAGGCCUUCGGGUGCUGACGAGUGGCGAACGGGUGAGUAAUGCAUCGGAACAUGCCCAGAGGUGGGGGAUAACGCAGCGAAAGCUGUGCUAAUACCGCAUGUGAUCUGAGGAUGAAAGCGGGGGACCAGGCAGCAAUGUUUGGCCUCGCGCCUUUGGAGCGGCCGAUGUCAGAUUAGGUAGUUGGUGGGGUAAAGGCCUACCAAGCCGACGAUCUGUAGCUGGUCUGAGAGGACGACCAGCCACACUGGGACUGAGACACGGCCCAGACUCCUACGGGAGGCAGCAGUGGGGAAUUUUGGACAAAGGGCGCAAGCCUGAUCCAGCAAUGCCGCGUGCGGGAAGAAGGCCUUCGGGUUGUAAACCGCUUUUGUACGGAACGAAAAGGCUCUGGCUAAUACCUGGGGCUGAUGACGGUACCGUAAGAAUAAGCACCGGCUAACUACGUG
rnacentral:rRNA from 1 species